rnacentral:rRNA from 1 species
AUUGAACGCUGGCGGCAGGCCUAACACAUGCAAGUCGAACGAGUGGCGGACGUGUGAGUAAUGUCUCGGAAACUGCAUGAUGGAGGGGGAUAACUACUGGAAACGGUAGCUACUACCGCAUACCAUCGGAUGUGUCCGGAUGGGAUUAGCUAGUAGGGGGGGUAAAGGCUCAACUAGGCGACGAUCCCUAGCGGGUCUGAGAGGAUGACCAGCCACACUGGAACGGAGACACGGCCCAGACGCCUACGGGAGGAAGCAGUGGGGAAUAUUGCACAAUGGGCGCAAGCCUGAUGCAGCCAUGCCGCGUGUAUGAAGAAGGUCUUCGGGUUGUAAAGUACUUUCAGCGGGGAGGCGUUACCCGCAGAAGAAGCACCGGCUAACUCCGUGCCAGCAGCCGCGGUAAUUC